CAAAAGUCGGAAUUCCCGUGAUGAACAAGUAUGAAAAAAUUUUAAUUAAAUAUAAAUUCAGUUCUAAUUAGUGAAAUUAUCGCGAUUUUUACGUGAUGGUAUUCGCUUCGUGCUCCUAGAAUUUGUAUCGUUCGACGAAGAGUUCAUUCAUCGCUAUCGUAUUCCUUUCUUUUUGGCAGUUACCAAUGAAUGAUGAUAAAAUGAAACGUUCGACGGCGUUGUACGCGAUCAAGUGUGGCAGUGUCGUGACUAUGGUUAGUUUCAGUUCCAUAAGGACGGUGUCCUGUUGAGAUUAGCAAUCGUAAAGACGAAGAGAACGAUGGAUAGCGACGAUUAUCGCCGCCAUUCGCAUUCCGGUGGUUCUUCGCCUCCAGAUCCUCUGGCUCGGUUAUCGGAUUACGCUCAGGAGUCGUCUUGUUCGUCUUGGAGCUCGUCGGAUGAAUCGUUAUCGUACCACGCGGCAUCUCUGCAGUUACAACCAUCGCCAUCGCCACCACCACCGUCAACAGGCUCCAGUGGGGGCUGCUUCUCGUACCCAGAAACGAAUUGGCAGCAGCGGUACACGCAUUUGCAGGCAGAAAUGUCCAGAUAUCGCAGACAGGCCAAUCGUACGCAGAACAUGCUGCAACAAAAGUUGACGGAACUGGAAUUGCGAGUAGCCGAAGCCGAAUCGCGAGCCGAAGAUGCCGAAGAUAAGGUUCGUUUAAUGGAAGAACGAUUACAAAGCACGGAUUGGGCUUCGGGUUCGGCUGCAUCGAGUAAUGAGACAGUCGAACAAGAUUGCGAUACUGCCAUCACCAAGUUAGCGUCUCAAGUCGAAGAACAAAGACAGCUCAGACUUCAAGAUGCGAAAAUAGUCGAAGCGAAGGCGGCUCGUAUCAAGGAAUGGGUUGCGAAUAAAUUACGCGAUUUAGAAGCCCAAAAUCAGCAUUUGCGCGAACAGAACGAUAAAUGUAAUCAGCAAUUGGAGCUGCUGAAAAGGCAUAUGGCGCAGCUGAGUGCCGGUCGAUUGGCCGAGUCGGUUUCGGCUGCGACGUCCGAGUCUGUGUCGCGACCUUCGUCUCUUCCUAGGGUCAAUAGUACCGGAUCAAGCGAUAAUGUAAUAGCAGAUCGAGAACCUGUGUACGCGCAAGUUGAUAGACUGAGUAAGAAAACAACGAAUACGAACGAGGUGUUAACUCAUCGAAGAUAUCUGUCCGCAUGUACGUCAUCUGUGGUAUCGGAUAGUGCGACUUCGACAACUGCAACCCCUCAGGUUGAAAAUGAUAUCCAUUCAGCAGCCACACUGCCAGCUACUGUCAGACCUAAAUCGGUAUGCGUCGAUUCGGACAUGACUCACGAUUACGCCGAAAUAUACACGCCGAGUAGAGAGAAAUUAGCGUGGAACAGCGACGGUAAACCGCCGACUCCGCCUUUGCACAGGUUCCCGUCGUGGGAAUCGAGAAUUUAUCAGGUUGCCAACGAAGGUUUGUCAAAUUCACUGCCUAGUCAUUCGGAUCAAAGUCUGAGAAUACCACUUUUAUCGUCCUCGCAGCCGUACGGCAAUAGCGGUUAUUGCGAUAUUAGUUGCCCGGUUUACGCUACCGUUAAAGGGAGAGCGAGUCAAAUUAGAUCCAGUCCAUUUAGCGGCGAUUCUUCGGAUGACUCGUCCGAUGGUGAAGAUCAUAUUCAUAGUUUAAUAGCGUCCAAUUCGAGAACUACCAAUAGUAGUACGGAUAAUACAGCCGUGCGCGAUUCUAUUUCAGAUACGUCUAUGUCAAGCUCUAGUCCAAGUAAAAGUCAAAGUCAUAAGACCGCCUCCAGUUUGUCGCCUUUGAAACGCAGCUCGUCCGGAUCGCCAUCUAAAAAUACGUCUUUCGAAUCUGGUAUUUCAGACGAUUACGCCAUACCACCGGAUGCGGUAUCGUGUAGCGGCGAUUCAACUGACUGGUCAACGAUCGCAGCUACAACUAGUCCCAGUCACCAGCAAAAGCUAAAUAUGCCCGAAUUAUGUUUCGAAAAAUGCGGACAUCUGGCCAAACUCGGCGGUAAAUUGAAAACUUGGCGGAAACGUUGGUUUCAUUUGAGCACCGCCGGCAAAUUAAGAUACUGGAAAACGCAGGGUGACAUUAAUCGUAAACCUAGAGGGGAAGUUUUCAUAGACGAAAUGUGCAAGAUUACCAGAGCCGAAGGAGGAUCUACUUUCGAAAUUUCUACACCAAAAAAAACGUAUUAUUUGACCGCCGAUUCUAUACCCGCUAUGGAAGAUUGGCUCAGAAUAUUACAAAACGUCCAAAGAAAAAACGCCACCAAAUUAUUAUUAAGUAAAGAAAAUUUCAAACCUACGUUACAAGGCUGGUUAACCAAAGUACGCAACGGGCAUGCGAAAAAAUGCUGGUGUAUAUUAAUAGGAAAAUCGUUUUUGUAUUUCAAAUCACCCAGCGAAAACAAUCCUGGUGGACAAAUCAAUAUGAGAGAAGCCAGGGUAGAACAAGUGGAACACGUUUCCGAUAGCGAUAGCGACGAAAAAGAAGCCGAACCUGCGCAAAAUUUUACCAUCGGUAUUUUCCCUUCGUCGCAGCCUCCCACAUAUCUUCUGAUGCCGUCUAAACAAGAAAUGGAUUCGUGGUUGUAUCAUUUGACCGUGGUAUCGGGAGGUAUUCCCCAUGUUGGUACGCAGUACGAGCAAUUGAUCCAGAAAUUAAUGGAGAUUGACGGCGAUGCCAGUAAUGUGUUGUGGAAACACCCUUUGCUAUUGCACACUAAAGAAACAUUAACCACGUCAUUGACCACCCUGCCUUCGGAAACCUUGGUAAUGGAAGCGUUGAAAUUGUUUAAGUGCUGUCAGUUAUUCAUGUCCGUAGCUGUGGAAUCUGCCGGUAUCGAUUACCACGUGGUACUUGCUCAAAAUGCUUUGCAACAGUGUUUAGAUAAUUGGCAGUUGCAAGCGGAAUUAUUAUGCGCGUUGAUAAAACAAACGUCUCCGCAUUCCGCUCAUAAAAUGGGAGUCCAGGUACUCUCCAAACUACGACAUCGUCAAUUGUUGUUGUGCGCCUCACAGUCUCUGUUCGCUUGUGAUACGGCCGGUUCGCCGACAGUCGGAACGGUACCACCGAUGCCGGUCUCAACUCUUUCCAACGUCGACAACUGCAAAGCAAACCCACCCACUUUUGUAUUCCUCCAAGGAUGGCAACUGUUAGCAUUGGCUGUGUCAUUAUUCGUACCAAAAGAUCAUAAAAUAUUGUGGUUCCUCAAGUGCCAUUUACGUCGUAAUUCCGAUAUGAAGACUGAAUGCGGAAAAUAUGCCGCUUACUGCGAAAGAGCUAUCGAACGGACGAUUCAAAAUGGCAACCGAGAAAUGAAACCAUCUAGAAUGGAAGUGCUGUCUAUUUUAUUGAAAAAUCCUUACCAUCAUUCUUUACCACAUUCGAUUCCGGUUCAUUUUCUCAACGGCACUUACCAGGUUGUUGGUUUCGACGGAUCGACUUCGGUUCAAGAAUUUCUGAAAACUUUGACGCAAGAUGUCGGCUGUCGAGAUUCUAGCAAUUCCGGGUUCACAUUAUUUAGCGACGAUCCGAUCGAGAAAGAUUUAGAGCAUUAUAUCGAUCCUCAAACCAAAUUAUGCGAUGUGAUUUCAAAAUGGGAAACUGUUCUGAGAGAAAAAGGAUCUGGCAAAUUUGAAAACACCAAAGUUAUCCAAUUAGUGUAUAAGAAUCGAUUAUACUUUAGGCAUUCGAUGAAGAAAGAAACCGAUCGCGAACGAUUGCUGAUGUGUUAUCAAACCAAUCACCAGAUUGUAAAUGGAAGAUUCCCGUUGACCAAAGAAUUAGCCUUAGAAUUGGCCGCUUUAAUGGCUCAGAUCGAUUUCGGAGAAUUCAACAGCGAAAAAGGACGAGGCAGUGGAAGCGGUGGUGCUGGUUCGUCUUCGAAUUCCAAAGAUUUAAUGAUCUUACAAGCUGUCGAUAAGUUUUACCCCUAUCGAUAUCGUGACGGAUUGUCGCCCGAUUCGUUAAAAGAACUGCAAAUAUCGUUGCAAGAGAAAUGGUUUUCAUUGAAGGGCAGAUCUUUGUUGGAUUGCGUUCGAAUUUAUCUCACUUGUACCAGAAAAUGGCCAUACUUUGGAGCCUCUCUAUUCCAAGCUAAGAUAAGCGCGAAAGAAGAUUGGCACCGGUUAUCUUGAAGCCGUAAUUUCACGAAAUGCUAGCAACCAACGAGAAUACUCGACCGUAGGUAGUAGGUACUCGUACAAGUGAAGAUGGAGACGCGGAAUAAUUACGCAGUACGAAACAAAUUCUAGCAGCUAAACGUAGGUACCUAUAUAGGUAGAUAUAAAUUACGUGGAAGUAGAUAUCUACCUCGCGUGUAUAGGUACUGUAGAUAAUAAUGUAAAUGCAUCAAACUUACCUACCUCUGGAAUAAGUUGGCACAAUGAAGAUGUAAUGAGAGAUCCGAAACUUAAUCCUACCAGUACGUUCAUGACGUGUUCGCGAUACUCGCCGGUGAUCAGCGGAAGCAGAAUAUAACCCCAUAUUCCCGCCAAACUGAUGAAAAACGCCGAUCCUAACGAAUAUAUCCAAACUGCAGAAUCAAAACAAAAUACUCGAGAAUUCGCCAUGUGUCGUCGAUAACAUCUGUAGAUUGAUCAAUGAUAAUGACGUAUAGGUACCUCGAGAAGGAAGGAAAAAAUGAACAGAAUCGUACCAGAUUAUUCAAUCAGAUAGAAUUCGUCAUGUGUCGUCGGUUACAUCUUCCGCGGAUUGAUCGCCUGUACCUUGAGAAGGAAGAGAAAUGCAAACACGAGCGUAUGUAUCAUCAGAUUAACCAGAUAAGUGGAAAAUACCGCGAUGUUGUUUUUUUUAAGAUGAUUGUUCAGCGUGUGUUAUUCGUAGCGUUUUAAUGUGCUAUGUGGAUAAAAUUGCGUUAUGAUCAAAUCUCCCCUUUCUUCAGUAUUCUCCGACGAAUGUAUUGAAAAUUCCACCGAAAAAGGUUGAGUAGAUUAGGUGUUGUAGAUUUUUUUUUUUCAAAUCGUCAUUUUAGAAGUAUAUUUAGGGAUGGUAUAGGUAUUAGAAGAUUAGGUAUAUCUUUGAAUUUAUAUCGAAUAAUCAUUUUCGGCUACAUUUUUCAUCGGUUAUUCGAUGGUUAUUUUUUUGAAAAUUCGAUAGGUAGGUAGGUAUAGUUGAUGAGAUUUUGGAUCAAAAUUGAAAAAUGAUCAGGGGGCGAUGUAUUUGGCUAUUUUCAAAAUUAAAUGCAUAGGUAAGUGAGGCGCCGAUGUUGGUAUCUGGUCAACCUGGAGACCUCACAACAUCGGAAGAGACCCGGAGGAUUUUGCGAUGCCUACUGCGACCGCCCCCGGCAUCCGGGAUCCCACGUCGGCACGGUAGGGUCGCAUUAAACGAAGGGUAUAAGGGAUGGUGGGCUUUACAUCUUCAUCUACGUUUUUAACUUAGGUCGAAUCGCAGGUCGAAAGGUAAUUCAUCGUCGGUGGCGUUCUUUGGUACCUCGUGUACGACAUUUUCCUUCAAAAACACACUCGCGUGUGAUUUUUGGAGCGAACGAGUCGUAUACGAGUUAUCUGAGGCGUCGUCGGUGAUUGGUGGUGCGUGAAAGGUGCGUGUCGAAGCUGUAGGGUCUGUCCUUGUCGAUAGCAGCCCGUGAAAACGGAGCAGUUUGGUUCGCAUGCUAAAUUAGUCGCAACUGUAGGCCGACGGGCUGAACGUUGCGCAAAGUCUUUCGUGUCUGGAAGCUGGCAUCUGCUACGCCGUGUAGGAGGCGCGUGUGAAGUGUGCGCGAAGUUGGCGAAGGCUUCAAAAUAGGCAUAUGGGGUAAGAUUUGAGACAAGUCCGCAAGAACGGUACACUUGGUACAUAGGGGGCUUGCUCGGCGCCUCGAUAUUGGUACGGGCCAGAGGUUGGUGCGUACGGACCUCCGAGUCGACAGAGCUCGGACUGCCCUUGUGGCCGACUUAGGCGAGGUUAGGGUAGAAAUCCGUGCGCCGUCUACUUGCUUACUGCUUCCCGGCGGUACACGUGCCGACCGGGGUUUUUACAGGAUCGGCUUAUCAAAGAGGAUUUAGGCUGGCGCCUUUCAGGCGGUCUGUUAUCACUUCGUACGAGUGUAACUUUUAUUCCUACGCUGACGUCAGCGUGUUGUAAAUUUUACACUCGCACGAAGUUAUAACUGACCUGUCUGCGGGGUCAGCUAUAUACCUUGCCUUGAGGAUCAAGUUCAGCCUAUCUCGCAGUGUUGGCGCUUUGGUCGAAUGCCCGUGAAACUCAUGAAGCAUUCAACAGCACUGCCCGUGGUGAGUGUAGGGAAUUUGAGAUACUGUUCCGGAGAGUUGGGCCCGACAAAGGGUUCGAUUGUCUGGACUGUUGAGAGUGCGAGAAGAGCGGAUGUCGAUCUGGAUUUUUAUGCUUUGUUAGAACGUAGGUGAAGAUGUAAAGUCUUUCCGUCGUCGAAUAAGUCUAAAAAUACGUUUUUUUAAAGAGUUAUUUGUGAAGUACGAAGAAAAACGAAAGUUUAUGACGUUUUUCUCGAUCAAUUCGCGUAUCAUUUUUACAUCAAACUUUCAAGGUUUGGUCCUCACUGAGAAAGAUUGACUGAGUAGAAUCUGGUGAUUGGUAUGGCUGAGUCAGUACAGAGUAAUAAUACUUAUUAUCGAGUAUUUUCAAGUUCAUUUGUACGUAUUUGUAUUUGUGACGUAUCUUUUAUUAUUGAUUGUACAUUUCAUUGUGUUUUUGUAAUGACCAUAUCAUGGUUUUUCACUGUCGAGCGGCCGGCAGUGUUUUUUAUCCCAGAUCGGUCAGUUUUAUGUAGAAUUAAGUUUGUAUUUUGCUCCCUCUGCCGCUUGCUUUAAAAAUGAAUCUAAUUUGUGUGGUG